GGCUCGGAGGUGUGUACACAUCGCCCCGUCGCUCUCAUUAUGGAUUAUUCUAUUUUAUUAUUUUAAAGGAGCUCCAAUUUAGAUGAGAUAAGUCGUAACAUAGUAGAUGUACNGGAAAGUGUAUCUAGGAAGAGUUUC
rnacentral:rRNA from 1 species